rnacentral:rRNA from 1 species
GACGAACGCUGGCGGCGCGCUUAACACAUGCAAGUCGAACGGUGAACCAGAGCUUGCUCUGGGGAUCAGUGGCGAACGGGUGAGUAACACGUGGGCAACCUGCCCAGACUCUGGGAUAACCUCGGGAAACCGAUGCUAAUACCGGAUACGACCACUUCGGACAUCCGACGGUGGUGGAAAGUUUUUCGGUCUGGGAUGGGCCCGCGGCCUAUCAGCUAGUUGGUGGGGUAAUGGCCUACCAAGGCGACGACGGGUAGCCGGCCUGAGAGGGCGACCGGCCACACUGGAACUGAGACACGGUCCAGACUCCUACGGGAGGCAGCAGUGGGGAAUAUUGCACAAUGGGCGAAAGCCUGAUGCAGCGACGCCGCGUGAGGGACGACGGCCUUCGGGUUGUAAACCUCUUUCAGCAGGGACGAAGCGAAAGUGACUGUACCUGCAGAAGAAGCACCGGCGUAACUACGUGCCAGCAGCCG